CCCUUAGAGUUUGAUCAUGGCUCAGAUUGAACGCUGGCGGCAUGCCUUACACAUGCAAGUCGAACGGUAACAGGGAGCUUGCUCCGCUGACGAGUGGCGAACGGGUGAGUAAUACAUCGGAACGUGCCCAGUAAUGGGGGAUAGCUCGGCGAAAGCCGGAUUAAUACCGCAUACGCCCUGAGGGGGAAAGUGGGGGACCGCAAGGCCUCACGUUAUUGGAGCGGCCGAUGGCUGAUUAGCUAGUUGGUAGGGUAAAGGCCUACCAAGGCGACGAUCAGUAGCUGGUCUGAGAGGACGAUCAGCCACACUGGGACUGAGACACGGCCCAGACUCCUACGGGAGGCAGCAGUGGGGAAUUUUGGACAAUGGGGGAAACCCUGAUCCAGCAAUGCCGCGUGUGCGAAGAAGGCCUUCGGGUUGUAAGGCACUUUUGUCAGGGAAGAAAUCCUUUGGGCUAAUACCCUAGGGGGAUGACGGUACCUGAAGAAUAAGCACCGGCUAACUACGUGCCAGCAGCCGCGGUAAUACGUAGGGUGCAAGCGUUAAUCGGAAUUACUGGGCGUAAAGCGUGCGCAGGCGGUUGUGUAAGAUAGGUGUGAAAUCCCCGGGCUUAACCUGGGAAUUGCAUUUGUGACUGCACGACUAGAGUGUGUCAGAGGGGGGUGGAAUUCCACGUGUAGCAGUGAAAUGCGUAGAUAUGUGGAGGAACACCAAUGG
rnacentral:rRNA from 1 species